AUCCAGACUCCUACGGGAGGCAGCAGUUAGGAAUAUUCGUCAAUGGGGGAAACCCUGAACGAGCAAUGCCGCGUGAGUGAUGAAGGCCCUAUGGGUUGUAAAACUCUGUUGUAAAGGAAGAAUACCUAGUAUAGGAAAUGAUGCUAGGAUGACGGUACUUUACCAGAAAGCCCCGGCUAACUACGUGCCAGCAGCCGCGGUAAUACGUAGGGGGCGAGCGUUAUCCGGAUUUAUUGGGCGUAAAGGGUGUGUAGGCGGCUUGUUAAGUCUAAAAUCAAAGCCCGGGGCUUAACCUCGGUUCGUUUUAGAAACUGGCAAACUAGAGUGCAGUAGAGGCAAGUGGAAUUUCUAGUGUAGCGGUUAAAUGCGUAGAUAUUAGAAGGAACACCAGUGGCGAAGGCGGCUUGCUGGGCUGUUACUGACGCUGAGACACGAAAGCGUGGGGAGCAAAUAGGAUUAGAUACCCUGGUAA
rnacentral:rRNA from 1 species